GAUGAACGCUAGCUACAGGCUUAACACAUGCAAGUCGAGGGGUAGCAUGGUCUUAGCUUGCUAAGGCCGAUGGCGACCGGCGCACGGGUGAGUAACACGUAUCCAACCUGCCGUCUACUCUUGGACAGCCUUCUGAGAGGAAGAUUAAUACAAGAUGGCAUCAUGAGUCCGCAUGUUCACAUGAUUAAAGGUAUUCCGGUAGACGAUGGGGAUGCGUUCCAUUAGAUAGUAGGCGGGGUAACGGCCCACCUAGUCUUCGAUGGAUAGGGGUUCUGAGAGGAAGGUCCCCCACAUUGGAACUGAGACACGGUCCAAACUCCUACGGGAGGCAGCAGUGAGGAAUAUUGGUCAAUGGGCGAGAGCCUGAACCAGCCAAGUAGCGUGAAGGAUGACUGCCCUAUGGGUUGUAAACUUCUUUUAUAAAGGAAUAAAGUCGGGUAUGGAUACCCGUUUGCAUGUACUUUAUGAAUAAGGAUCGGCUAACUCCGUGCCAGCAGCCGCGGUAAUACGGAGGAUCCGAGCGUUAUCCGGAUUUAUUGGGUUUAAAGGGAGCGUAGAUGGAUGUUUAAGUCAGUUGUGAAAGUUUGCGGCUCAACCGUAAAAUUGCAGUUGAUACUGGAUAUCUUGAGUGCAGUUGAGGCAGGCGGAAUUCGUGGUGUAGCGGUGAAAUGCUUAGAUAUCACGAAGAACUCCGAUUGCGAAGGCAGCCUGCUAAGCUGCAACUGACAUUGAGGCUCGAAAGUGUGGGUAUCAAACAGGAUUAGAUACCCUGGUAGUCCACACGGUAAACGAUGAAUACUCGCUGUUUGCGAUAUACAGCAAGCGGCCAAGCGAAAGCGUUAAGUAUUCCACCUGGGGAGUACGCCGGCAACGGUGAAACUCAAAGGAAUUGACGGGGGCCCGCACAAGCGGAGGAACAUGUGGUUUAAUUCGAUGAUACGCGAGGAACCUUACCCGGGCUUAAAUUGCAGAUGAAUUACGGUGAAAGCCGUAAGCCGCAAGGCAUCUGUGAAGGUGCUGCAUGGUUGUCGUCAGCUCGUGCCGUGAGGUGUCGGCUUAAGUGCCAUAACGAGCGCAACCCUUGUCGUCAGUUACUAACAGGUUCCGCUGAGGACUCUGACAAGACUACCAUCGUAAGAUGUGAGGAAGGUGGGGAUGACGUCAAAUCAGCACGGCCCUUACGUCCGGGGCUACACACGUGUUACAAUGGGGGGUACAGAGGGCCGCUACCACGCGAGUGGAUGCCAAUCCCCAAAACCUCUCUCAGUUCGGACUGGAGUCUGCAACCCGACUCCACGAAGCUGGAUUCGCUAGUAAUCGCGCAUCAGCCACGGCGCGGUGAAUACGUUCCCGGGCCUUGUACACACCGCCCGUCAAGCCAUGGGAGCCGGGGGUACCUGAAGUGCGUAACCGCGAGGAGCGCCCUAGGGUA
rnacentral:rRNA from 1 species